rnacentral:rRNA from 1 species
AACGAACGCUGGCGGCAGGCUUAACACAUGCAAGUCGAACGGGCGUAGCAAUACGUCAGUGGCAGACGGGUGAGUAACGCGUGGGAACGUACCUUUUGGUUCGGAACAACCCAGGGAAACUUGGGCUAAUACCGGAUAAGCCCUUACGGGGAAAGAUUUAUCGCCGAAAGAUCGGCCCGCGUCUGAUUAGCUAGUUGGUGAGGUAACGGCUCACCAAGGCGACGAUCAGUAGCUGGUCUGAGAGGAUGAUCAGCCACAUUGGGACUGAGACACGGCCCAAACUCCUACGGGAGGCAGCAGUGGGGAAUAUUGGACAAUGGGCGCAAGCCUGAUCCAGCCAUGCCGCGUGAGUGAUGAAGGCCCUAGGGUUGUAAAGC